rfam:Ixodes scapularis strain Wikel colony gcontig_1108379464717, whole genome shotgun sequence.
GAUGUGUCCGGAUGAAUUUCUCGCCUGGCCGUUUCCGGUCCCCCGGAACAGGUCGGUGGGAUUUUCGUCCGUUUACGUC